rnacentral:rRNA from 1 species
GAUGAACGCUGGCGGCGUGCUUAACACAUGCAAGUCGAACGGAAAGGCCGAAGCUUGCUUCGGUACUCGAGUGGCGAACGGGUGAGUAACACGUGGGUGAUCUGCCCUGUACUUCGGGAUAAGCUUGGGAAACUGGGUCUAAUACCGGAUAUGACAAUCUCUUGGAUGGGGUUGUGGAAAGCUUUUGCGGUAUGGGAUGAGCUCGCGGCCUAUCAGCUUGUUGGUGGGGUAAUGGCCUACCAAGGCGUCGACGGGUAGCCGGCCUGAGAGGGUGUACGGCCACAUUGGGACUGAGAUACGGCCCAGACUCCUACGGGAGGCAGCAGUGGGGAAUAUUGCACAAUGGGCGCAAGCCUGAUGCAGCGACGCCGCGUGGGGGAUGACGGCCUUCGGGUUGUAAACUCCUUUCGCAACCGACGAAGCUUUUUGUGACGGUAGGUGGAGAAGAAGCACCGGCUAACUACGUG